ensembl:snRNA U6 U6 spliceosomal RNA
GUGCCGACUUUGGAAUCGCAUACACUAAAACUGGAAUGAUGCAGGGAAGAUUCCCAUGGCAAAUGCGAAUGAUAUGUAAAUUUGUGAAAUGCUCCAUGUUUAA